rnacentral:rRNA from 1 species
UUCUCAACGAUGGAUAUCUUGGUUCCCACAACGAUGAAGAACGCAGCGAAGUGCGAUAAGCAGUGCGAAUUGCAGAACCGUGAGUCAUCAGAUUUUUGAACGCAA